GGGAAGGUUUUGCGUUUUCUACUUCUUCUUCCUUCUCUGUAACUACUAACUCGGUUCUGUGAGAAUAAUCGUCUGGCCAGUCCCUUUUUUGUAAAGAGAAAGCCAAAAAAUCCUUGUAAAAAACUGAAAUAAUUUUUGUUUUUUUUUUAAUUCGAAAUAUAUGGAUAUUACUAGUAUAUCUCCAUCCGAACCUAUUAAUUACCAGAAAAACCAUGGUUCGUUUCCGAACCAAACCAUCCGAACCACCUUUACUCUUUAUUUGAAAAUCAAAUAAAAAAACCCUAAUAUUUCCAGGGAUUUCCCAAUUCGAAGAGAGAUUUUUUGACUUCUUCUCCUUAGUAACCGUUUUCGAUUUUUUGACUUCUUCUCCUUAGUAACCGUUUCAACUGCAACAUUCCCUAUUUCUUUAAAUUUAAUCGAUCGUUCUUCUUGCUUUCACCAGUAUUUCCGUUCUAUUUCCGAUUCGAAAUCAGUCAUGCCGCCUAAGACGCGUGGAGGAGGUCAAGGGAAAAGAAAGGAGAUAGAAGCGCCGGCGCCAGCGAAGACAGAGAAAGUUAAGGCGCCGGCUGAGAAAGUGAAGGAGAAGGUGCCGGCGAAGAAAGCGAAGGUUCAGGCGCCGGCGAAGAAAGAGAAGGUUCAGGCGCCGGCGAAGAAAGAGAAGGUUCAGGCGCCGGCGAAGAAAGCGAAGGUUCAGGCGACGGCGAAGACGACUGCGACGGCACAAACGACUGCGACGGCGAUGGCAACGACAGCGGCUCCAACGACAACGGCUCCAACGACGGCUCCAACGACGGAGAGCCCGAUGCUUGAUGAUUCUACGUUUUAUGAUGCUCUGAAGCAUAUUCCGGCUGAAGAAACUCAAGAGAAUAUGCAAACUGAUGAGGUGGAAGAUGAAAAUGAAAAAGAAGAAGGAAGUGAAAAAGAAGAAUCAGGGAGUAGUAGCCAAACCUUGGGCUCCGAUUCCGAUUCAGAGGAGACGGAGACAAACAAAGAAGUCGCGUGUGCUAAUCCCGUGGAAGAGGCGGAGAGACAAGAUGACGGCCUAGCCGUUAUCGAGGAGGAGGAGGAGAGGAGCUCCGCGAGCGACGAGGACGUCAAUGUGGAAAAGUCUGUGGAGGAUGAGGGAGACGAGGACGAGAGAGACGAGGACGUGAUAGUCCAAGUGGAAAAACCCGUGGAGGAGAGGACCAUAGACGAGGACAUCGCAAAUGUGGUAAGUAUUCCAUUUCGUAAUACCGAUCUAAUUGGGUAAUAAUGCAAUUGUGAAAUGUGGACAGUACUAGUAACAUUGGGAAAUGCUAUGUUGAUAUUUAGGACGAGAGAAACGAGGACGUGAUAGUCCAAGUGGAAAAACCCGUGGAGGAGAGGACCAUAGCCGAGGACAUCGCAAAUGUGGUAAGUAUUCCAUUUCGUAAUACCGAUCUAAUUGGGUAAUAAUGCAAUUGUGAAAUGUGGACAGUACUAGUAACAUUGGGAAAUGCUAUGUUGAUAUUUAGGUAAUAUUGGCGGAUGUGGGUAAUACCUU
rnacentral:sRNA from 1 species